CCUGGGUAUGGUGGUGCAUGCCUGUAAUCCCAGCUACUUGGGAGGUUGAGGCAGGAGAAUCGCUUGAACAGGGAGUCAGAGGUUGCAGUGAGCUGAGAUCGAGCCACUGCACUCCAGCCUGGCAACAGAGCAAGACUCUGUCUCAAAAAAAAAAAAAAAAAAAAAGAAAAAUGGUAACCAGAGGGGUCAAUUUUCNNNNNNNNNNCCAGGCUGCAGAGCAGUGGUGCAAUCUCAGCUCACUACAACUUCUGCCUCCUGGGUUCAAGCAAUUCUCCUGCCUCAGC
rnacentral:SRP_RNA from 1 species